GGCGGGGUAGUCCGGUCUGUCCUCCACAUAACGCUCGAUCUGAGCAUGCACCGACACCAGCACCUACCAUAAACGCACGCGUCAUUGCACAGGAAGGACCGCAGAAGAGGUUGCGGGUACGACACCAGCUGGACCAGGAUGCCCGUCAGCAGCAGGUUGACCGAGAUGGAGUUUUCCAGAAGGUUCUCCAACCGGGACAAUAGGACGCUGAUAAAAGGACCUGAAAGACAGAUUUACCCUCAGGUGAUUUUCUAUGGGUUCACACUGAUUGAGAAAGUAUUGCAGAUUUUUUCAAACAUUUGUAUGAUAUUUCAACAUUAAAGACAAUCAAAAUGGA